rnacentral:rRNA from 1 species
UAAUACUGGAUAGGCAAUUAUUCCUGUAAUGGUUUUUUGUUUAAAUGUUUUUUCGCCUAAGGAUGGGUCUGCGGCCGAUUAGGUAGUUGGUUAGGUAAUGGCUUACCAAGCCUUUGAUCGGUACGGGUUGUGAGAGCAAGAGCCCGGAGAUGGAACCUGAGACAAGGUUCCAGGCCCUACGGGGUGCAGCAGGCGCGAAACCUCCGCAAUGUGAGAAAUCGCGACGGGGGGAUCCCAAGUGCCAUUCUUAACGGGAUGGCUUUUCUUUAGUGUAAAAAGCUUUUGGAAUAAGAGCUGGGCAAGACCGGUGCCAGCCGCCGCGGUAACACCGGCAGCUCUAGUGGUAGCAAUUUUUAUUGGGCCUAAAGCGUCCGUAGCCGGUUUAAUAAGUCUCUGGUGAAAUCCUGUAGCUUAACUGUGGGAAUUGCUGGAGAUACUAUUAGACUUGAGACCGGGAGAGGUUAGAGGUACUCCCAGGGUAGAGGUGAAAUUCUGUAAUCCUGGGAGGACCGCCUGUUGCGAAGGCGUCUAACUGGAACGGUUCUGACGGUGAGGGACGAAAGUUAGGGGCGCGAACCGGAUUAGAUACCCGGGUAGUCCCAACUGUAAACGAUGCGGACUUGGUGUUG